CCUACGGUGGGCUGCAGUGGGGAAUAUUGGACAAUGGGCGAAAGCCUGAUCCAGCCAUGCCGCGUGUGUGAAGAAGGCCUUCGGGUUGUAAAGCACUUUCAGUGGGGAAGAAAGCCUUGGGGCUAAUACCCUCGAGGAAGGACAUCACCCACAGAAGAAGCACCGGCUAACUCCGUGCCAGCAGCCGCGGUAAUACGGAGGGUGCGAGCGUUAAUCGGAAUUACUGGGCGUAAAGCGCGCGUAGGCGGUCUGAUAAGCCGGUUGUGAAAGCCCCGGGCUCAACCUGGGAACGGCAUCCGGAACUGGCAGGCUAGAGUGCAGGAGAGGAAGGUAGAAUUCCCGGUGUAGCGGUGAAAUGCGUAGAGAUCGGGAGGAAUACCAGUGGCGAAGGCGGCCUUCUGGACUGACACUGACGCUGAGGUGCGAAAGCGUGGGUAGCAAACAGGAUUAGAUACCCCAGUAGUC
rnacentral:rRNA from 1 species